AGAGUUUGAUUUUGGCUCAGGAUGAACGCUAGCGACAGGCUUAACACAUGCAAGUCGAGGGGCAGCAUUAAGGUAGCUUGCUACUUUAGAUGGCGACCGGCGCACGGGUGCGUAACACGUAUGCAACCUGCCCGUCAUUGUGGAAUAACCCGGAGAAAUCCGGCCUAAUACCGCAUGAUACUGAGAAGAGGCAUUUCUUUUCAUUUAAAGAAUUUCGAUGACGGAUGGGCAUGCGGAUGAUUAGCUAGUCGGCGGGGUAACGGCCCACCGAGGCGACGAUCAUUAGGGGUUCUGAGAGGAAGGUCCCCCACACUGGUACUGAGAUACGGACCAGACUCCUACGGGAGGCAGCAGUGAGGAAUAUUGGUCAAUGGGCGCAAGCCUGAACCAGCCAAGUCGCGUGAAGGAAGACUGCCCUAUGGGUUGUAAACUUCUUUUGCAUGGGAAUAAAGUGAGCCACGUGUGGCUUUUUGUAUGUACCAUGCGAAUAAGCAUCGGCUAACUCCGUGCCAGCAGCCGCGGUAAUACGGAGGAUGCGAGCGUUAUCCGGAUUUAUUGGGUUUAAAGGGUGCGUAGGCGGGAUGGUAAGUCGGUGGUGAAAGUUUGCGGCUCAACCGUAAAAUUGCCGUUGAAACUGCCGUUCUUGAGUGCGAGCGAGGUAGGCGGAAUGUGCCGUGUAGCGGUGAAAUGCAUAGAUAUGGUACAGAACUCCGAUUGCGAAGGCAGCCUACCAGUACGCUACUGACGCUGAGGCACGAAAGCGUGGGUAUCGAACAGGAUUAGAUACCCUGGUAGUCCACGCAGUAAACGAUGGAUGCUAGCUGUUUGCGAUACAAUGUAAGCGGCCGAGCGAAAGUGUUAAGCAUCCCACCUGGGGAGUACGCCGGCAACGGUGAAACUCAAAGGAAUUGACGGGGGCCCGCACAAGCGGAGGAACAUGUGGUUUAAUUCGAUGAUACGCGAGGAACCUUACCCGGGCUUGAAAGUUAGCGACGGACUUGGAGACAGGUCUUCCCUUCGGGGCGCGAAACUAGGUGCUGCAUGGUUGUCGUCAGCUCGUGCCGUGAGGUGUCGGCUUAAGUGCCAUAACGAGCGCAACCCUUGUCGUCAGUUACCAGCAUGCAGUGAUGGGGACUCUGGCGAGACUGCCACCGUAAGGUGAGAGGAAGGGGGGGAUGACGUCAAAUCAGCACGGCCCUUACGUCCGGGGCGACACACGUGUUACAAUGGUGGGUACAGAGGGCGGCUAUCCGGCGACGGAAUGCAAAUCUCGAAAACCCAUCUCAGUUCGGAUUGGAGUCUGCAACUCGACUCCAUGAAGUUGGAUUCGCUAGUAAUCGCGCAUCAGCCAUGGCGCGGUGAAUACGUUCCCGGGCCUUGCACUCACCGCCCGUCA
rnacentral:rRNA from 1 species